ACCGCCGGGCACCGGGGUGGGGAAAACACGGCGUGGGCCUCGCUGCCCCUGCCACUACGGAGCUGCCAACCCCGCUCUGCCGUCAGUAGGGCCCGCAGCGUCUCGUGUCUGGGUGGAGCCGCUUGAAGGCGGCGGGCUCGCACUGCUGAGCGAGGCGAAGUGAGAAAAGCUGCUUCUCAAGGAUUAGCGUGAGAGCCACGUUUCAUUUAUUUCCCUCCAUCGUUGACUGGAACAGGGAGCUGGAGAUGGGAAUUUCAGCCCAAGCAACAGCAUUACGAAGGUACUUUGGUCUUUCUGGCUUGGAGAAAGAUGGGGAUGCUGCUGAAUGCAAGUACUGCAAAGAGGGGGCUCUGGCAUCCUGCAGGAAUCCCUCCAGGCAGACAAAGCCUUCCAUGGCCUCCAGCAGCACCCAGACGCCUACACAGCACAACCUCAGCAUGUGUGCAUGGGGGUGACACCGCAACAUCUGUGCCAAGACCACCCCUUUUCAAUUUCUUGGGUCAGGAUGACAAAAAGCAGUGCAGCAGUACUCAGUUUUCAGCCUGAAAUACGCUGACCACUAGCUGCUUAAAUGAAUGCGUGUCUUCAUAAAAAAUAUGCAGUCCUUGGGUCAGGCAUGAAUUGAAGCUUUGACAUUCAAAGAGGUGAGGUCCUGAGCAGACGCCUGUGCUUCAGCCCGAAGAGAACCCGCCCCCAGCACUCCGACGGGGCUCUGGGUUGUAUUUCUUUCCUGUGCUAAUUUUACUAAAGACACAACUCAUAUUCCUGUUGAUUGAACAGUUUUGUGUUGACAGCAUUGAAGAUUUGUGAUGAAACUUAUCAUCAGCGCCAAGAGCGGGCCAUUAGUACUAGUCACAGCGGCUAGCUGCUACUGAUAUAUUUUAUGGCACGCUUCAAAGACAAACAUACACAUUUAUAUGUCACUUGUUGCAAUAUAAAUGCUAACUUGUACUUCUUUCAAAACUUUUAAUGAAUUGUAUACAUUUCCUGAGAUUUAUAGCGUGAACCAAACUGCUCAAAACAUUACUUUAAACAUAUUUGUCACUUUGGCAACAGAACAAAAAAAAUCUGGAAGAUAUUGCAUUUAGAAAUAAAUCAUAAAUAUAUGCAUCCUAAA